rnacentral:rRNA from 1 species
CUACGGGUUGCUGCAGUAGGGAAUAUUGCACCAUGGGCAAAAGCCUGAUGCAGCAACGCCGCGUGAGCGAUGAAGGCCCUCGGGUCGUAAAGCUCUUUUCAAGGGGAAGAGGAAGGACGGUACCCUUGGAAUAAGUCUCGGCUAACUACGUGCCAGCAGCCGCGGUAAAACGUAGGAGGCGAUCGUUAUCCGGAUUUACUGGGCGUAAAGCGCGUGUAGGCGGUACAGCAAGUUGGAUGUGAAAGCUCCUGGCUUAACUGGGAGAGGUCGUUCAAAACUGCUGAACUAGAGUACGGUAGAGGAAAAUGGAAUUCCGGGUGUAGUGGUGAAAUGCGUAGAUAUCCGGAGGAACACCAGAGGCGAAAGCGAUUUUCUGGACCGAAACUGACGCUCAGACGCGAAAGCUAGGGUAGCAAACGGGAUUAGAUACCCUCGUAGUC